CAGGGGUGGAAUUCAAACCCGGGUCCUUUGGGUGCAAGAUGCCUCUCUGUACUGUGUUCACGUGGUUCUUUACUACACCGAUGAAUGCAUCUCUGUGGAACGGAGCGAUUGCCACUACCACAAACUCUGUUUACUCCUGCAGCUCGACCACAAAACGUGGUAAAUGGAAAGUACUUUCGAGGCUUUGUGUAAUAAAGCAGGUUCUGCUAAUGGACACACCCUGCUAGACCUGCUGUGUCGCCCCCAUCGCACCGUGGACUUCCUCAAUCACGACUGAGAACGAAAACAACUGUUUAUUCACCCGUGUUUCAACAUUCAAGCCAGUCAGCCUUACAAGGUAUCAAACCACAGGGGAAAAAGGAAGGGUACCAUAUUUACCGCGGUAGAGGUGAGGAGGGAAAGUGCUGAUCUAAUGUUCAAUGGAGCCGUUAAAGAUGUGUUCCCCCAUUUACAGGUUAAAAGGAGCAGGCAGCCAGUCUUACCUGUGUCGCAGUGGUUUGAGCUCUCGCCUUGCAGUUGAAGGACCUAGGUUCGAAUCCCAUGCCUGCUGUAGCACCCUUGGUCAAGAGGUAAACAUGGCUUCAAAGCUGUCAUCAAAGUGGACAGGGUGAGACGCGAGACUUCAGACGGUCACCUGGUUUGAAGCGAGUUUCCCAAGGAUGGCUACUCUACUCCUGGUCACCUUCGCCAACGUUCCUCUCCAGCAACGAAGACCACCAGAACCCGACAAAUUAAAGGGAAGUGAGGAGAACUGCGCAUGUCACCUCACACCACCCUCCGCCUGAACGUUGUGGUUAAUGGGCGGGAGUGCAGCCGCUCUCUAGCCUACGGUCACAACUGCUUUCGGAAUUUUGUUUGUAACUCCAAAGUCACGUACUUUCACCAACCAAUGAACGUUUAAUAAUAGACGUUCCUCAAUUUAUUGAAUGGUUAAAAAAAUCUGCAAAAGUCUGGGAUAAAGCUGUCACAGACUGAGUAUACUUUAAAACUGUAACCCUUUGUAAGAUGUUUAAUGCCCUUAAGCCACACUAAAAUACAAGUCCUGUCAAAUGACAAAAAUCUAUUGCUUUUAUUACUGCAUGUUAUUAAUUUGUUUAGCUGAC